rnacentral:rRNA from 1 species
GCAAGUCUGGUGCCAGCAGCCGCGGUAAUUCCAGCUCCAAUAGCGUAUAUUAAAGUUGUUGCAGUUAAAAAGCUCGUAGUUGAACCUUGGGCCUGGCUGACCGGUCCGCCUCACCGCGUGCACUGGUUCGGCCGGGCCUUUCCUUCUGGGGAGCCGCAUGCCCUUCACUGGGUGUGUCGGGGAACCAGGACUUUUACUUUGAAAAAAUUAGAGUGUUCAAAGCAGGCCUAUGCUCGAAUACAUUAGCAUGGAAUAAUAGAAUAGGACGUGUGGUUCUAUUUUGUUGGUUUCUAGGACCGCCGUAAUGAUUAAUAGGGAUAGUCGGGGGCAUCAGUAUUCAAUUGUCAGAGGUGAAAUUCUUGGAUUUAUUGAAGACUAACUACUGCGAAAGCAUUUGCCAAGGAUGUUUUCAUUAAUCAGUGAACGAAAGUUAGGGGAUCGAAGACGAUCAGAUACCGUCGUAGUCUUAACCAUAAACUAUGCCGACUAGGGAUCGGGCGAUGUUAUCUUUUUGACUCGCUCGGCACCUCACGAGAAAUCAAAGUUUUUGGGUUCUGGGGGGAGUAUGGUCGCAAGGCUGAAACUUAAAGGAAUUGACGGAAG